rnacentral:sRNA from 1 species
ACGAAUAAUAAAUAAAAAGCAAUCCAAUCUAUUGACGGUUCUAUCCAGUUAGACCACCGUAACCAUUCCAAACUUUAGUAUACUAUCUAAUUUAAAUCUCAAUAAAUAUAUAAAAACACACAAUACAACAA